rnacentral:rRNA from 1 species
GAAUGAUUUGUCUGGUUAAUUCCGAUAACGAACGUGACUCAAUCAUAUUAAAUAGAUACCUAUCAGCAGUUGAGAUGCCGAAGCUGUAGUAUUGGCAGCAAUGUUGGUGCUGCAGUCGAGUCUCACCUGAUAGUUUGUCAUUUGCUUCUUGUAGGUAUUUGACUUUAAUCUGCUUAAUAGGACAAUUUGUGUUUAGCAAAAUGAGAUUGAGCAAUAACAGGUCCGUGAUGCCCUUAGAUGUCCUGGGCUGCACGCGCGCUACAAUGAAGACAUCAACGUGUAUCCUAUAUUGAAAGAUACGGGAAAUCACUAAAACGUCUUCUUAGUUGGGAUUAUGGACUGAAACUGUUCAUAUGAACCUGGAAUUCCCAGUAAAUG